UGAGUUCUAGGAUGGCUAACCAGUGUGUUUGAGUUCUUAAAGAAUCUGGCAGCUGAGGUCAUGGGACUAGGAUUAUUCAAGACUAAGUUUCCAACCCAUCAAUCCAACAUUUAUUGAGGACUUCUUGUGGACAAAGGGCUCUGUUUGCCUUUGUCUGGAUAUUCAGAAGACCCAUGUGAACAAUGCAAAAUAAAGUAGCAGUAAAAGAGAACGGACAAAUACAGUCACAAGUUCAAAUGAUUCUACGUGGGAGGAGAUUAAAAAUGGUAAAGUAAGAACAAGCUGCAAAAUAGACCCUCUUUGAAAUGUGAAUCAAAACAUUUUGAAAACAACCUAGCAAAGAAAAAAGAAGUAGAACUCUGGGAAUCAAGAAAAAGCUGGUAGGAAAACUAGAAACUAGAGAGAAACUGAAAAGGAUGCAAAGAAAAGAACAAAGGAGACUGGAACACUAACCCUGGCUCCCAGGGAGGAGGUCCUAUCUCCACCAACACAAGAGCUGGGGAAUCAAGACUUGAGAAGGUUGGACACUGAGAAGACACUCAGAUAUUCUGCUGAUUAAGUUAAAAAUGGAUACAAACAUCAAGACACAACCAAACUCAAGGACAUGUCACAGGGAGACAAACCUAACUAAAGAGAUCUCCACAGUAGCAAUAGUUUCUCUACCCUAACUGACCUUCAACUCAGAGCAAAAAAAUGAUAGAAACAUGAGAAAAUCAGGCAAGAAGAUGCCUUCCAAAGACCCCUAGCUCCCAAAAAUCUGAUCUCGUGGACACUAAAGUAGAGGAAACUAUGGGCAAAGAACUCAAAACCAAAUGGUCAAAAUGUUUAAAGAGAUUAAAGAAGAAAAAUAUAAGCAAACACAUAAGAUGUUUAAUGAGCUGAGAGAGAAUUUAAUUAAAAAGAUAAUGGAUUUUACUAAUAAAAUGUUCAAUGAGUACAAAGGAAAAACAAACAAUGAAAUAAUUGAGCUAAACAAGAUGAUACAAGACAUGAAUGACCACUUUGGAAAAUAACUAGAAAGUAUGAAAAGAAAGCAAGCAGAAAAAGAUGGUAUUAAGAUAUCAAAUGGAAAACAUGGGCCUCAAACUUGACCAGUGUGAGGCAGAGUGUCAGAAAUAGAAGACAACAUGGAUGUAAUAAUUCAUAAAUUCAAUGAUACCCUAAAAACAAAAAGGCACCAAGCUGGAUUCAACUGCUGCUAGAUGACAAAAACAAACAAACAAACAAAACAAAACCUCUCAGAAUUACGGAAAUAAGGAAAACUUAGAAGACAACUAAAAAGGUAUUAAAAAUUUUAUUCACUUAAAUUAUAGUAGAAAAUUUUCCAGAUCUUUGGAAAGAAUUCAAUAUUCAAGUACAAGAGGCAUAUAUAAUUUCAGAUAGGCAUUAACAGAAAAGAACUCCUCCAUGGUACACCAUAAUCAAAAUUCCAGAAAUUCAGCAAAAGUCAAACCCUCCCCCCGCAAAAAACCCAGCAAAUAACCUAUAAAGUCAAGUUCAUCAGAAUAACUGUGGAUUUCUCAGCACACACAUUAAAGGGCAGGAGAGCCUGGAGUGAAGUUUUUUAAGUCCUACAUGAAAACAAUUGUCAACUCAAACUUUUACUUCCUGCAAAAAUUAGCCUUCAAAAUUGACAGAUAAGAAAAGUCUUUCCACAACAAAGAAGUCCUAAAGAAGUUCAUAACCACUAAACCAGCAUUCCAGAAAAUACUUAAGAGAAUUCUAGACAGAGAUUGGGAGGCCACCAGCACCACAAAGUGCAAAGGAAAACAUAUAUCUGAGAGAGUAAUUAAAAGGAAAAAAAAAAGGAAACAGCAUAGGAAAAAUAAUGCAAUGACAGGAUUCAAUAAAUACCUUAUAAUAAUAAUUCUCAAUGUCAGUGGUCUCAACUCACCAAUCAAAAGACACAGACUGGUAGAUUGGAUCAAAAAACAAAACGCAACCAUACAUUUCUUACAAAAGAUACAAACAAACAGACCCAUCUGAUCCAAAAGGAAGUAUUGUACAGAAACUGAAUGUGAAAACAUGGAAAAUGAUACUCCAUUAAACUAGAGACCUAAAAUAAG